rnacentral:Y_RNA from 1 species
GGCUGGUCUGAAUGCAGUGGAGUUUACAAGUCAUUGAUCACAACUACUUAUAGAUUUCUUUGUUUUUCCUCCACUCCCACUGCUUUUUUUUUUUUUUUUUGACUAGCCAAAA